rnacentral:lncRNA from 1 species
UGCAGCGCAGUGCAGGUGAGUCAUCACCCCAGCUUGACGUGGGGAGAAAAAGAACGGGUGGAUGUGCUGUUAGGAAAAAAUGACACUCAAGCUGAGAGUGCAGCUGAAUCCAACAUGAGUCACUGAACUCCAGGGAGAAGAUGCCUCCUCUGGAUGCAGAGAACCCAAUGUGAUGGACCACGCAUUCCACUGCAUGACAUUAGUGUUACAAAGGCUGAAACAGG